UACAGAGGUCUCAAGCGUUGUUCGGAUUCAUUGGGCGUAAAGGGUGCGUAGGCGGCGCGGUAAGUCGGGUGUGAAAUCUUGGAGCUUAACUCCGAAACUGCAUUCGAUACUGCCGUGCUUGAGGACUGGAGAGGAGACUGGAAUUUACGGUGUAGCGGUGAAAUGCGUAGAUAUCGUAAGGAAGACCAGUGGCGAAGGCGGGUCUCUGGGCAGUUCCUGACGCUGAGGCACGAAGGCCAGGGGAGCAAACAGG
rnacentral:rRNA from 1 species